rnacentral:lncRNA from 1 species
UGCCAAUCAAACUGCUACAAGACAACACCCUGAUCUGGCAUGGACAUCGCGGGUCCAAGCCUGUAGCCCCAAAUCGGAUAAUCUCUGCAGCUGAUAACAAGCAAAAGAGAAGCCAGGCAACAGCCAUAUUAAAGAAGAAAACAAUCAACUCUGAGCAGGAAGAAAUGUAAUGAAUUGAGUGCUGUCAGAGAUGUCUUCUGUUUGAACAAUCUGCGAUGGGCUGAAUGGCAGGGACUCCCUCAUCCAGUGCAGACACAGCCCAGGCAGACAGAAGGAAACGGAGCAUUAAUCCAACUGCAGUCACCCCAAAGUACAGGCCAUUUGGAUCCAGAAGAGAAACUGGUUCCUUCUACAAGCUCUCCCGUUCUCCCUGGGGCCCUUCACAGCCUCCUUGUCUACGUUGUGGCUGUGCUUUCCCUGAUCCAACUUAGAAAUAAUGUUUCAUUCAAGAUAAGGCUCGUGGCUUAGGAGAUUGUGACCUGGCUUGCAUCAUUCUAAGACUUCUAUCGUCUGUUUUCAAAACCCAAGGAGGACCUCCUUUUCUGUGUGAUAGUUCCUCAUGCUUUGCCAGCCACUGGGUCUUUAAGGAAGCUUGCCAAGAGUUCCCGGCUGGGAAGG